UGAACGCUGGCGGCGGCCUAACACAUGCAAGUCGAGCGGUAACAGGCGUAGCAAUACGUGCUGACGAGCGGCGAACGGGUGAGUAAUGCUUCGGAAUCUGCCCAAUGGUGGGGAAUAACCAGCCGAAAGGUUGGCUAAUACCGCAUGAACCCUUCGGGGGAAAGCAGGGGAUCGUAAGACCUUGCGCCGAUGGAUGAGCCGAAGUCGGAUUAGCUAGUUGGUAGGGUAACGGCCUACCAAGGCGACGAUCCGUAGCUGGUCUGAGAGGACGACCAGCCACACUGGGACUGAGACACGGCCCAGACUCCUACGGGAGGCAGCAGUGGGGAAUAUUGGACAAUGGGGGAAACCCUGAUCCAGCGACGCCGCGUGUGUGAAGAAGGCCUGCGGGUUGUAAAGCACUUUUAGUGGGGAUGAAAAGCUCAGGGCUAAUACCUCUGGGUCUUGACCUAACCCACAGAAAAAGCACCGGCUAACUCUGUGCCAGCAGCCGCGGUAAUACAGAGGGUGCAAGCGUUAAUCGGAAUUACUGGGCGUAAAGCGAACGUAAACGGUUGGAUAAGUCGGAUGUGAAAGCCCCGGGCUCA
rnacentral:rRNA from 1 species